UGUCUCCUCCACCCUCCUCCUUUGGUGUGGAUUUAAACCCGAAGCUUGCUCGCUUCGGGUUUUUUUUA
rnacentral:ncRNA from 1 species